UCAGUCCUGCCCAUAUCCAGGACAGCACCAGCAUGGAGCCCCCCUGGCCAGCCACAUCUCUACUGCUGUCAGCACCUGAGCACAAAUGUUCCAUGACUGUCAAACCCACCCUCACUCAAGUACUCAAAAAAGAUGAACUGAACCGAAGCCCUAGAAAGGUAUUUGUGUUGUCUACAUGAGAAGUCAGGGUAUCAACUUCCAACAGCAAUUUCGGCUUCGCCUGCCUUAUGACAUAUCUCCAGCUGAGGUGAUGACAGUCAGUAACCUCAGAAGACCUGCUCUUACAGA